UGAGGAAUAUUGGUCAAUGGGCGAGAGCCUGAACCAGCCAUCCCGCGUGAAGGACGACUGCCCUAUGGGUUGUAAACUUCUUUUGUAUAGGGAUAAACCUACCCUCGUGAGGGUAGCUGAAGGUACUAUACGAAUAAGCACCGGCUAACUCCGUGCCAGCAGCCGCGGUAAUAAUCA
rnacentral:rRNA from 1 species